UACGUAGGGGGCUAGCGUUGUCCGGAAUCAUUGGGCGUAAAGCGCGUGUAGGCGGCCCGAUAAGUCCGCUGUGAAAGUCCAGGGCUCAACCCUGGGAUGCCGGUGGAUACUGUCGGGCUCGAGUCCGGAAGAGGCGAGUGGAAAUUCCUGGUGUAGCGGUGAAAUGCGCAGAUAUCAGGAGGAACACCAAUGGCGAAGGCAGCUCGCUGGGACGUGACUGACGCUGAGACGCGAAAGCGUGGGGAGCAAACAGG
rnacentral:rRNA from 1 species